ACUGAACGCUGGCGGCAUGCCUUACACAUGCAAGUCGAACGGUAACAGGUCUUCGGAUGCUGACGAGUGGCGAACGGGUGAGUAAUACAUCGGAACGUGCCCGAGAGUGGGGGAUAACGAGGCGAAAGCUUUGCUAAUACCGCAUACGAUCUCAGGAUGAAAGCAGGGGACCGCAAGGCCUUGCGCUCACGGAGCGGCCGAUGGCAGAUUAGGUAGUUGGUGGGAUAAAAGCUUACCAAGCCGACGAUCUGUAGCUGGUCUGAGAGGACGACCAGCCACACUGGGACUGAGAAACGGCCCAGACUCCUACGGGAGGCAGCAGUGGGGAAUUUUGGACAAUGGGCGCAAGCCUGAUCCAGCCAUGCCGCGUGCAGGAUGAAGGCCUUCGGGUUGUAAACUGCUUUUGUACGGAACGAAAAGACUCUGGUUAAUACCUGGGGUCCAUGACGGUACCGUAAGAAUAAGCACCGGCUAACUACGUGCCAGCCGCCGCCGUAAGAC
rnacentral:rRNA from 1 species